CCUAGCUCCCGUCCCAGCCGCCACCAACUGCCCCCUCGUCGCCUCCCCCUCCCCUUCCCCCUCUCACCACCCACUGAACAAGCAGCUUAUUCACCGCGGCUUGUUUGUCGAUCCUCAGUGUUGAAUCAGGCUCGCUCGCAAGAUGAAGCGGCUGUAUGUGAAUCUGGUGACGCGGAAUUGGGAGAGUGGGAUUUAUGCACUGCGCCGCCUCAAUCCCGAUGUGCACCUCUUCUACCAGUCAAGAAAUGACGCAAAAGAAGUAGCAGAGAUCAACACGAUGGAUUCUGCAGCAGAUGAUAGCAUCAAGAUGAAAUCAGCAGCAGAUGCGAACAACAAGACCAAGAGAUCCAGUCCAAGGAUGCAUAGCCUGCGGCAGCUGCCUAAACCAAUCGCCAAAUUCGAUCCGUCACCGUCCGGCCUGUGGAUCAAUGACGGCCUGGAGUGGUUCGAGCUCCUGGGCCCCCGCCGCAGCGAAUGAUGCAACGUGUGCUUGGGGAUCGGAAGGCUCAGGCCAGCAUUGCCACACACCAUCCAUAAAAAAAGUUAAACCAGGAAAAACUGGUUGGAAGCUUCUAGAAGCGUCACAAAACUUCAUAGUGUAGCUUCUGUAAAAGAAAAAACGCAACCUACAUGGACCGGCCCAUCUCCUAAGUAGUGUGUGCCAUUUGCCAGUUAUGGGCCGGCCCAACCAGUUCACUGCCCUAUGGAUGGUGUGUGGCAAUGCUGGCCUGAGCCUUCCGAUCCCCAAGCACACGUUGCAUCAUUCACUAGGUGCCUGAAUAAUCUAUUAGUACUACUUUUGUUAUGCAUUCCGUUUUAUUAUGCAUGCUUCUAGUCUAUUUCCUGUUUGUAAGAUAUUAUUUGGACAAUGCCAUUAGCCUGCUUGUUUAUGCCAAGUGGGGGGAUUUUCUGAAUCUA